GCUUGCCUAGGUUUACUUAACCAGUAAAUGCAAAAGGGAUUUUAAUACAGUUCUGCCAGGCUUCAAUCCUUUCUCUUUUCAAAAAGUUACUGUAAUAACCAUCCAAAUCUUAUCAAGCAAGUCCAACAAAAAUGUAUGCAAACAAUGGAAUUUUAUUAAGACAAGAUCAUGAGUUAGAAUUAAGAUAAAUUAAGCAGAUGUUGCAAUUAUAAUGGAUAGUAGAGUUAUACCCAGGGAUUAUGGAAGAGAGUUUUAAAUGAGAUUCAGAGGCUGUGUAAUAAGAAUGAUCAAAUGAAAGAGACAGAGUAAGGGGGAUAGCAAUAUUAUUUUGAAGAUGAAUUUGUUUUUGCAAAAUAUAAAAGUAAUAAAUAUUUUCUAGAUAUGUGUGAUUGAUACCAAAUUCUGUGGGUAAAAAUUUUGAAUACAAAUUACAUUAUAGUUCUUUUUUUGUGUUUUGAGACACAGUCUCACACUGUCACCCAGGCUAGAGUGUAAUGGCACAAUCUUGUCUCACUGCAACCUCUGCCUCCCGGGUUCAAGUGAUUCUUCUGCCUCGGCCUCCCAAGUAGCUGGAACUACAGGUGAGCGCCACCAUGCCCAGCUAAUUUUUGUAUUUUUAGUAGAGCCGGGGUUUCACCAUAUUGGCCAGACUGGUCUUGAACUCCUGACCUCGUGAUCCGCCCGCCUCAGCCUCCCAAAGUGUUGGAAUUACAGGCGUGAGCCACUGCACCCAGCCCACAAAUUACAAUAUACUUCUAAGCAUAUUGUCAUAUUUCCUUGGGUACACAUUUAGAUAAUUGCAUUCAGGUUCACAAGCAAUUGUGGUAUAAUACAGUAUAGACACUAAAAUUACAGAAAAGUGAAUAGGAUCAUUGAGAUCUAAAAUAAAUGUUUCACUCACCCAAGGAGUCUAACAAAAUUCACAUUGGUAAAUUCAGAAUUUCCUGUCACAUAUUUUCUUCAAUCUUAGGAAUAAACUUUUGUACAUAAUUUUAAUGAAUUAUUACAUAUUUCUUAUUGAUUUUAAAUUAUUUUGUAUCUUUAUAAAAAUUUAGCACCCCUGUAGGUUAGUAUUAGUAGCAUUAACAUUUAUUUUGUA
rnacentral:lncRNA from 1 species